rnacentral:rRNA from 1 species
CCCUUAGAUGUUCUGGGCCGCACGCGCGCUACACUGACGAAUGCAACGAGCUUAUAACCUUGGCCGAAAGGUCUGGGUAAUCUCCAAAUUUCGUCGUGAUGGGGAUAGAUUAUUUCAAUUAUUAAUCUUCAACGAGGAAUGCCUAGUAAGCGCAAGUCAUCAGCUUGCGUUGAUUACGUCCCUGCCCUUUGUACACACCGCCCGUCGCUCCUACCGAUUGAAUGGUCCGGUGAAGCGUUCGGACCGUGGCCUUUGGACGGUUCGCCGUCUGUUGGCUGCGGGAAGUUCGUUAAACCUUAUCAUUUAGAGGAAGGAGAAGUCGUANCA